rnacentral:rRNA from 1 species
UGGUGCUUGCACCGAGCGGAUGAGUUGCGAACGGGUGAGUAACGCGUAGGUAACCUGCCUCUUAGCGGGGGAUAACUAUUGGAAACGAUAGCUAAUACCGCAUAAAAGUCGAUAUCGCAUGAUAUUGAUUUGAAAGAUGCAAUUGCAUCACUAAGAGAUGGACCUGCGUUGUAUUAGCUAGUUGGUGAGGUAACGGCUCACCAAGGCGACGAUACAUAGCCGACCUGAGAGGGUGAUCGGUCCACACUGGGACUGAGACACGGCCCAGACUCCUACGGGAGGCAGCAGUAGGGAAUCUUCGGCAAUGGGGGCAACCCUGACCGAGCAACGCCGCGUGAGUGAAGAAGGUUUUCGGAUCGUAAAGCUCUGUUGUAAGAGAAGAACGAGUGUGAGAGUGGAAAGUUCACACUGUGACGGUAACUUACCAGAAAGGGACGGCUAACUACGUGCCAGCAGCCGCGGUAAUACGUAGGUCCCGAGCGUUAUCCGGAUUUAUUGGGCGUAAAGCGAGCGCAGGCGGUUAGAUAAGUCUGAAGUUAAAGGCUGUGGCUUAAC